rnacentral:misc_RNA from 1 species
GUCUAUGAAUAAUUCAAGUUACAUGGAGUAUAUCAAUAAAAUUUCUGCAAAUAUUGAAAUUUACUGGUUAGUAAAUGGUUGUAUUUGUACAUAUUUGGGCAAAAUAUUUAUACAUUGCUACUUUUGACUCUUUACUGCAUACACCUGUAACUGAUAAGUAUACAUGGAUGCCGGUAUGACAUUUUUGAAUUAGUGAGAAAGUGAUGCAGUCAAGGAAAAUCAUAUUUGUGAUUAGGGAAUUUAUUUUCUUUUUCCCCUUGAGGUUCUCCUUAUUUAGGAAG